rnacentral:lncRNA from 1 species
AAUUAAGCUUCUGAUCUAUUUUCAUUUUGAUAUUUAAGGAUCAAACAGAACAACUAUACAUGAAGUCCCCAUUUCCAUAAUGGGAGAUCAGCAACAUCACAGGAUACUGAAUUCUACCGUUGCUUUAUAAUGUCCAGCUUGGCAGCUCAGAUUCUUUCUAGACACUAGAUCUACAGAGAGCAAUCAUGAAUCUCAUAUAUAAAACUGAAGGCGUCUUGACAUUACAGAACUUUGAGUCCCCAGUGGACAAACAUCUAAUUAAAACAUGUGGUAGAGGACAGCAGCUCAAGCCCACAUGAGUGGGAUAUCACUGAUGGACGUAUUAACACUGUAAUAGACUGCUGGUUUAAAGAGUUCUAUAACACUAAAGCAGACCUGUCUAAAAUUUACUUUAAAGUUUGCAAGAAAUGGUGACAGCACAUGUGGUGAGCCAGGUUGGAGAGCUGCAAAGCACACAUGGAAAAGGAAAGUGAGUGGCUCCUGGCCAGCUGCAAAGGGAAAGCCAGACGCAGAGAGCCACCGUUGGUUAACGCUAAGCUACUUUCAAUGAUUUCCAAGCUGCAGUUUUUAAUGGACAAAUAUCAAGGAUCUUGCUAGCAAUCCCUGGGUUUCACUCUGAAUAGGACUCUGCAAUGUUGCCUAAAGAUAAAGAAAGUGUUCUCUACUUGACAAAAUAAAAUAAAACAUCAAAUGAAAGGAUAGCAGAAUAGCAACAUAUUUCUGGUUGUGAGACUACAAUAUAGAUUGUUGUAUGUAAGAUUUCUAAACAAGAG